rnacentral:lncRNA from 1 species
CACGAAUUGUCGUGGUCAUGGUGUUGAAAGGUUCAGGCUUUGACGCUGAUGGCUCUACCUCCUUAAGAGACAGACCCACCCCCUGACACAGUCGGGGCAGGCACAGGAAAACUUGCUAAGUCAUCGCAGGACACCCGCCAUGCAUUACACCUGCUGAAGACUCUGGGCAUGCGUAGAACCUCAGUGCACAGGAGGUUCUGUGUUCCUGCCUCAUUGACAGGUGGCCAUGAUGUUACUGCUCAAUCCUGACAAGAAGGUUCCUGGUAUCUAAGACGUAGGACUCGUUUGCAGGGAGAAGACGGCUGUCCUUAGAGGCAACAUUUACUUUUAGCAGCUUUAGGCCUGGCACAGGAAGCAGUCAGAUGAGUUGGACUCUCACAUCUGCCUCCUUCUGCAAAUUCAUCCAGUGCUCCAGGCAUGUGCUCCCAUGGCUCCUCACAUGAGGCAGGAAUAGAAACAGCGUGGGCCUCUUUAACAAGAUCAUAGAGAGCUCAGUUUAGGAUGCAAAUGCAGGGAAUGGUGCCAUCCAUUUUUCUUCCCACAUCAAUUAAGAUCCUCGUUUGGUUUCCAGGCUCAGACCCUCUUGGUGGCCAAGCUAGAACCUGGAGAUCGGUCCCCUUACCUUCCCAGUCUCUUCCACCUCUGAUCAGCCAGUGAGGUAAACACCAUGCUAAGCUAUGAUCUCCUGCAGCUGAUGGUUCCUGAUUCAUCUUACCAUCGUGAAAUUUCAUUACAGUCUUACUGUACUGCCUUAGCUGACCUUGAACAUCUGGCUCCCAAGAUCUUGCUUCAGCUUCCCAAGUCUAUGGUCCCUAGCUGGCCUGAAAUCCUCAGAAAUCUACCUGCCUCAGCCUCCUGAGUGCUGGGAUUAAAGGCGUGGGGGUGGACUUUGAGGUCUCCUAUGCUCAAGCUACUCUCAGCGAGACAGACCACUUCCUGUUGUCUGACUAUCAAGAUAAAGGGCUCUCAGCCCCAGCACCAUAUCAGCCUGCAUGUCACCAUGUGACACCAUGUGAUAAUGGACUAAACCUCUGAAAAUGUAAGCUACCCCA